GGCGCUGUGGCGGAGUGGUCCAACGCGAAAGACUCGAAUCUAGCAGCGCGACAUCUUUUCCCUUCGGGGGCACCGGUUCGAAUCCGGUCGGCGUCG